rnacentral:rRNA from 1 species
AGUGAACGCUGGCGGUAGGCCUAACACAUGCAAGUCGAACGGCAGCACAGAGGAGCUUGCUCCUUGGGUGGCGAGUGGCGGACGGGUGAGGAGUACAUCGGAAUCUACUCUGUCGUGGGGGAUAACGUAGGGAAACUUACGCUAAUACCGCAUACGACCUACGGGUGUAAGCAGGGGACCUUCGGGCCUUGCGCGUAUGAAUGAGCCGAUGUCGGAUUAGCUAGUUGGCGGGGUAAAGGCCCACCAAGGCGACGAUCCGUAGCUGGUCUGAGAGGAUGAUCAGCCACACUGGAACUGAGACACGGUCCAGACUCCUACGGGAGGCAGCAGUGGGGAAUAUUGGACAAUGGGCGCAAGCCUGAUCCAGCCAUACCGCGUGGGUGAAGAAGGCCUUCGGGUUGUAAAGCCCUUUUGUUGGGAAAGAAAUCCAGCUGGCUAAUACCCGGUUGGGAUGACGGUACCCAAAGAAUAAGCACCGGCUAACUUCGUGCCAGCCGCCGCCGUAA